rnacentral:rRNA from 1 species
UGAGGAAUAUUGGUCAAUGGGCGCAAGCCUGAACCAGCCAAGUCGCGUGAGGGAAGACGGUCCUAUGGGAUUGUAAACCUCUUUUGUCAGGGAGCAAGCGCGGGACGCGUCCCGUAGCUGAGAGUACCUGAAGAAAAAGCAUCGGCUAACUCCGUGCCAGCAGCCGCGGUAAUACGGAGGAUGCGAGCGUUAUCCGGAUUUAUUGGGUUUAAAGGUGCGUAGGCGGACCGUUAAGUCAGUGGUAAAAUUGAGAGGCUCAAACCUCUUCCGGCCACUUGAAACUGGCGGACUUGAGUGAGCGAGAAGUAUGCGGAAUGCGUGGUGUAGCGGUGAAAUGCAUAGAUAUCACGCAGAACU